GAUCCUAGUCUUGUAUGCAAAGACUGCUCUACUGCAGGUUGUUCUAAACUCUUUCUUUUUUUCCUGCAGUUGAGAACAAUGCUGAGUCCAGUAUGGGGCCAAGCAGACUAAGUGACAGCAGUAACAGCAGCAGCUCCUUAAACUCUGGCAGCAGUACUAGCAGUGGUUCUGGUUCUAGCUCUUCAGAUAGCAGUGACCCUGAAUCAGUUGCAGAAACCUGCUCAAAACAGACUGGAGCCAUGCAGAACUGUCCAACUUCUAUGGAAAAGCCUAAGGUAUCCAAUGCAACUUCUCAGGUUGACAGUGCUGAUUGGAGUAAACAAGCUGAGAAAACAAUACAUCUAGACAAAUCAAAUAAACUUCAGAACAAGGCCAGUGAGAGAACUGCUGAUUCAAUAUCCAUAAGUCAAGGAGAGAGUCAUCGUACACCUAAUGAUAAACCUAAUGAUAAAAACAUGCUAAAGCUAAAUUCCAAAAUUCUUCCAAGACAGGAUACAGGAUUUAAGAAUAUAGAUUCCUGGGUAAGCUUAUGUAAAACAAUGAUGCUUCCAGCUCCAAUAAAAACAUCUGCUGAGAGUUUCAAACAGUUCAGGAAAGCAGCAUUAAAGAAAAAGAGUGGGCAAGCACAGGAGUUAAAAAGGCCUCUGGUGCAAGCUGAGAGGGAAAUGCACAACCUUCCUCAAGAAAAAGAGAGGUUUGUAACCACGUAUGUUUAAAUAUUAUU
rnacentral:lncRNA from 1 species